GUGCUCACUGUGCCAGCACAUAUACUGAAAUUGGAGUGAUACAGAGAUUAGCAUGGCCCGUGCACAAGGAUGACAUGCAAAUGCAUGAAGUGGUCCAUUUCUUU